AUUGAACGCUGGCGGCAGGCCUAACACAUGCAAGUCGAGCGGAUGAAGGGAGCUUGCUCCUGGAUUCAGCGGCGGACGGGUGAGUAAUGCCUAGGAAUCUGCCUGGUAGUGGGGGAUAACGUCCGGAAACGGGCGCUAAUACCGCAUACGUCCUGAGGGAGAAAGUGGGGGAUCUUCGGACCUCACGCUAUCAGAUGAGCCUAGGUCGGAUUAGCUAGUUGGUGGGGUAAAGGCCCACCAAGGCGACGAUCCGUAACUGGUCUGAGAGGAUGAUCAGUCACACUGGAACUGAGACACGGUCCAGACUCCUACGGGAGGCAGCAGUGGGGAAUAUCGGACAAAGGGCGAAAGCCUGAUCCAGCCAUGCCGCGUGUGUGAAGAAGGUCUUCGGAUUGUAAAGCACUUUAAGUUGGGAGGAAGGGCAGUAAGUUAAUACCUUGCUGUUUUGACGUUACCAACAGAAUAAGCACCGGCUAACUUCGUG
rnacentral:rRNA from 1 species